UUGUGCUGAUCAUCACCAGAGCGAUCCACAUCCAGAUUUUAUGGAUAUUGAUCAUACCACUGAAGAAGAACGACCCCCAUAUGUUAUAGUUGUUCACGGCCCUCCCAAGGUCGGUAAAACUCUCUUAAUAAAGUGUCUGGUGGAUUUCUAUACCAAGGGAAGUCAUUCUGACAUGGCAGGCCCGAUUAGGAUUGUAGCAGG